UAAGGGCGCACGGUGGAUGCCUUGGCACUAGAAGCCGAUGAAGGACGUUACUAACGACGAUAUGCUUUGGGGAGCUGUAAGUAAGCUUUGAUCCAGAGAUUUCCGAAUGGGGAAACCCAGCAUGAGUUAUGUCAUGUUAUCGAUAUGUGAAUACAUAGCAUAUCAGAAGGCACACCCGGAGAACUGAAACAUCUUAGUACCCGGAGGAAGAGAAAGAAAAUUCGAUUCCCUUAGUAGCGGCGAGCGAAACGGGAAGAGCCCAAACCAACAAGCUUGCUUGUUGGGGUUGUAGGACACUCUAUACGGAGUUACAAAGGACGACAUUAGACGAAUCAUCUGGAAAGAUGAAUCAAAGAAGGUAAUAAUCCUGUAGUCGAAAAUGUUGUCUCUCUUGAGUGGAUCCUGAGUACGACGGAGCACGUGAAAUUCCGUCGGAAUCUGGGAGGACCAUCUCCUAAGGCUAAAUACUCUCUAGUGACCGAUAGUGAACCAGUACCGUGAGGGAAAGGUGAAAAGCACCCCGGAAGGGGAGUGAAAUAGAACCUGAAACCGUGUGCUUACAAGUAGUCAGAGCCCGUUAAUGGGUGAUGGCGUGCCUUUUGUAGAAUGAACCGGCGAGUUACGAUUUGAUGCAAGGUUAAGCAGUAAAUGUGGAGCCGUAGCGAAAGCGAGUCUGAAUAGGGCGUUUAGUAUUUGGUCGUAGACCCGAAACCAGGUGAUCUACCCUUGGUCAGGUUGAAGUUCAGGUAACACUGAAUGGAGGACCGAACCGACUUACGUUGAAAAGUGAGCGGAUGAACUGAGGGUAGCGGAGAAAUUCCAAUCGAACCUGGAGAUAGCUGGUUCUCUCCGAAAUAGCUUUAGGGCUAGCCUCAAGUGAUGAUUAUUGGAGGUAGAGCACUGUUUGGACGAGGGGCCCCUCUCGGGUUACCGAAUUCAGACAAACUCCGAAUGCCAAUUAAUUUAACUUGGGAGUCAGAACAUGGGUGAUAAGGUCCGUGUUCGAAAGGGAAACAGCCCAGACCACCAGCUAAGGUCCCAAAAUAUAUGUUAAGUGGAAAAGGAUGUGGCGUUGCCCAGACAACUAGGAUGUUGGCUUAGAAGCAGCCAUCAUUUAAAGAGUGCGUAAUAGCUCACUAGUCGAGUGACACUGCGCCGAAAAUGUACCGGGGCUAAACAUAUUACCGAAGCUGUGGAUUGUCCUUUGGACAAUGGUAGGAGAGCGUUCUAAGGGCGUUGA
rnacentral:rRNA from 1 species